GGCCGGUUCCGCUCCGCGCCAGCGCACGCGUCACGGGGAGCGGCGUGACGUCAGCGGCGGGGCCGGCGGGCGCGCGCUCCGGCGGGAGAGGAGCCGCGGGCCGGGGCUGUCCCCGCAGGGCUUUCAACCGCGUGUAGCUGCUAAACCAGAAAAGAUGGAUACAUGAAGACCAUGCAUUUAUCAGAGAUCCUGCUAUUUUCCCAAAACCAGUAGAUAAAAGAAGAAAGAAUGUGUCUCUCUUUCCAUCUAACAUGAAAAAGAGGAACCUUUAUUGUCCUGGCCAUAGUCUUUUCCUUAAUACUGCUCACAGACUGGAGAUUUUCAUACAAAAUUGCCUGAAUUUGGACUCUAGUGACUGUCAUUGCGUAAUACCACACUGCAUCACUCAGAUUAUAAUUAUCUUAUACAAGUGGGUAACAUCUCUGCAGAGUGUGCAGUGUUUACAUAGCACAGUUUAUUUCUGUUCACUUCACUGAAUCAUUGUUGAAUUUGAGGAUGCAUUUCAUAAACAAUUAUUCUGCUCUAAUAGUAACAAGUAACACAUUUGCUUUACAGACACCUCAGCGAAACACUCCUGUCAACAUGAAUUGUCUGUCAUGUGCUUUAAAAUGUUUUGAAAAAAAAUAUGGCACGCCAUCUGGCUCCCAAGCACCCAUUAAAUCCAUUGGAAUAUGAGUGUUUAAAGAAG